AAAAAAGAAAAAAAACACAAACCCUAUCCUAAUCGGCCCACUAGGGGCCCAACACCUAACCCUAGCGCGCGCCCUGGCUCCUCCCUGUGGCCGCCGCCUCCUACUUCCUCUCCCUCAGCCGCCACCCACUCUCUCCUCUUCCCUCUCUCUGCACCGACUUCUGCGGCAGCGGCGGCGACGCCAUGGGCCCGGUGGGCUUGGCCGCCGUCCUGUGCUACGGGGACACCGUGACGCAGCUCCACAUCGUGGGCGCCGCGGGCGCGGGCGCACCGCCUCUGCCCAGGAACUUCUCCAUCGGGGUCGUGGUCACAACGCUGUCCAGGCUCCCCGACCUCAAGGUGCUCACGCUGUCCGGGCUCGAGCUCUGGGCCCGCUGCCGGGCAAGCUCGGUCGCCUCGCGUCGCUGGAGAUCGUCAACAUGAGCGGCAACUAUCUCUUCGGCGAGGUCCUGCGGGGCGUGUCGCGCCUCGCCGGUCUCCAGACACUGGUCCUCGAUGACAACAUGCUGGGCGGUGAGGUGCCGACCUGGAUCGGCGCCCAGCCGUCGCUGGCCGUCCUGAGCCUGCGGAACAACACGUUCCAGGGCGUCGUGCCGGAGUCCCUGGGAAGCGCCCCCUCGCUGCGGUCGCUCGUUCUCGCGUCCAACAACCUGUCCGGGAACCUGCCGGACAUGAGCCAGCAGGCCAACCUCCAGGUGCUCGACGUCGGCGGCAACUCGCUCGAGCCGGCGUUCCCCAAGCUCGGGAGGAAGGUGGUCACCGUGGUCCUGGCUAGGAACCGGUUCGUCGCCUUCCUCCAGAACCCGCAGCUCGUGCAGGAGUUCAGGCCCGACAAACAGUACAACAUCCACAUGCUCCAGGAGCGAUAUCAGGUUUAUGUUCUUUCAACUCUAGCAAGGGACAAUUCACAGUGAGAGUUUUCUCUGCUGGAUCACUGUAGGGAAAGGACAAUGCAUAUUAAAUAGGAUCAAAAUUCAGAUGAAACAUUGAAGAUCGGUCCUGACCAGAUUGAAGCUCUGUAUCAGUGUGCCAAAUUUCAGUUUGAGUGUGGUAACUACUCAGGAGCAGCUAGAGUGAUGUAGUUGUGGGCUUUUGAACAAUAGCUGGAGUAAUAUGAAACAUUAGUGAUGUAGUUGUGGGCUUUUGAACUGCUUCAAGCUGGAGUGAUGUCGUUGUGGUGCUUUUGUGACUGAUCAUCUCUGGAGCUUUUGUGAAUGAUCUAGCUAGCUAUCUAUAAAUGAUCUAGUUGUGAAUGAUAUUAUAAUUGUGAUGCUUUUGUGAAUAUAUAAUUGUGGUGCUUUUGUGUUU